rnacentral:lncRNA from 10 species
CCGGAGCUGUUCCUAUUCGGCCAUCUUGGCUCCUCCCCGUGACUUUCAAAUAAAACUCCUAGUCUAAAGCUGCGAUGGUGACCAAAAUUUUCACAAAGACUGACUCCCUGUUUCUAGCAUGCAACUUCAUGGAUAAGUGCUGUAAUGACAAGGACCAGAGAGUAUGCUUUCAUUAUACUUCUCAAUCUCUUUUCCUGCUGAGACAGCUGGACAUUUUUACUGGGGGAAGAGGAAAGAAGAAAGACUUCCACAAUACUUUGCACACUGUAAAUUCUCAACGUGUUUGUUGAACAAAUGUAAAAUAUUUGCAGUUCCUCAAGUAAAUGCCUUAUUUCCCAUGUCCUAUAUCAUAAUGCACAUUCAUGUUAAUGAAUAUAUUAUAAGUGCAUGUGUAUAAUACAAAAAUGUUUCAUUUCACUAGAAUUUGAGACUUCAGACAGUAGCUGAUUAUCCUGAGUAUAAACUUGCAGGGAAUAAGUGUUUGGUGGUAAGUUGUACAGUAGAAUGAUAUUUUUGUGCACUGAAAAAGAAGAGAUAAUUUCAACACUUCGUAUCAUUGUGAAAAAGCAUGGCUGUGGGAGCCAUGUUAAAGCUGUGCAGGAAGUACAAGGGAAGGAAAAUCAAAUAGGAAAAAAGCUAUCUGACAAGAGCCAUGUCUGGAU